CUGGUUUUCAAUCCACAGUUCUUCUGGUUCAUCGUCAACUUGACUUCGGACAUACAGUACUUUGAACAUACUAUGUGAAGACAAGAUUCACUGGAAAAAACUGUAAUGCUAGAAAAAGUUAAAGACAGUAGGAAGAGAGAAAGCCAACAGGAUUGCAUCGGGAAAUACUAAUAAAGAAGAUCCACCCACUCCCAGUAGGAAGAGCCAACCCCUCCUAGAUAUGUAACAGUGAUGAAGAAGAAACACCAACAUGGACACUAGCUGCAUAGGAUGAUGAUCUCAACUUCCACACCAAUUCUGCAUGUCAGCGUGUGUUUUUAUAGGCAUGUUGAAGCAUCUGCCUCCAAACAAGACCUCUUUGGGACCAACCUACUGGCAAACAAGAUUUGCUUCUCUUCAUCAUGGUUUAUCCCAGCAUUAUACAGUAAGUAUUUUUAAAGAAAAACAUAUUUGAUUAUUAUUAUUAUUUAUUUAUUUAUUAUAUUUCUGUGAACCUCAGGAUUCUUCCAUGCAUCCCCAAUUGUAGGGUAGUAGUUUGAAAAAGAGUAUAGGGCUCCUUGCAUAAUUAGCUACACUUGUCAAAACCCUUACCUCCCACAUAUGUGUCCACGUUGGCUGCAACAGUCACAGUGGCACUUAUCCACUGAGAGUCUCUGUAGAUGAGACACUGACUCCAUAUCUAGAAGCAGUGCACGCUUAAAAGGAAAAUAUGGUAUGUUUAUUGUAGCACAAGCUUGUUGCAAUCUGUACUGAACAACUUGGUUUCCUUUUUUUUGUGAUUGGUCAGCUGGGAGGCAGCAAGUUUUGCCAGGCUGAAAGUGACAAAAUAUUUGCAUGGCUGGAAAUAUAACAUUGCAGAUAGAGGAAAUACUAACAUGUCUUAUUCAGUGAUUUGAUCCUCUACUUGCUAAUAGAAGAAAUGAUCACUUGCCUGCAGAAGAGGUUGUUGUUAAAGGCACAGAAGCCAGAACUGGUCAAAAUCUGGCAACCUUAGCUAUGCUGGAUUCUGAAAGUACAAAAUGAAUCUCAGUCCUACCUUGAUAUAUCAUAUCUAUUUUCUUUGACUUUGCAAAAGUAUCCUCUUUGACAGGUAUUCUUUCACUUGAAGGAGCUUCAGAGGAAACCUCUCCAAGACCUGUAGGGGAAAGUUACCUUCCUAGAUUGUGUCUGCCAGAAUUCCCCAGCUAUCAAUGGCAGAAUGGCUGAGGAUUCUGGGUAUCAUUGUCUGCAAAAGUCACUUUCCCCACCUUGCGUCUUCUGU
rnacentral:lncRNA from 1 species